CCUACGGGUGGCAGCAGUGAGGAAUAUUGGUCAAUGGGAGGAAUCCUGAACCAGCCAUGCCGCGUGCAGGACGACGGCUCUACGAGUUGUAAACUGCUUUUGUACCGGGGUAAAAUGCUCUACGAGUAGGGUUUUGAAAGUACGGUACGAAUAAGGAUCGGCUAACUCCGUGCCAGCAGCCGCGGUAAUACGGAGGAUGCGAGCGUUAUCCGGAUUCAUUGGGUUUAAAGGGUGCGCAGGCGGGCCUUUAAGCCGGCGGGGAAAUCGCGGGGCUCAACCCCGCCGAGCCGUCGGAACUGGGGGCCUUGAGUGCGGGGGAGGCAUGCGGAAUGCGCGGUGUAGCGGUGAAAUGCAUAGAUAUCGCGCAGAACCCCGAUUGCGAAGGCAGCGUGCCGUGCCGCCACUGACGCUGAGGCACGAAAGCGCGGGGAUCGAACAGGAUUAGAUACCCCGGUAGUC
rnacentral:rRNA from 1 species